GAUGAACGCUGGCGGCGCGCCUAACACAUGCAAGUCGAACGAUUAAAGCACCUUCGGGUGUGUAUAAAGUGGCGAACGGCUGAGUAACACGUGGGCAACCUGCCCCUUUCAUUGGGAUAGCCACGGGAAACCGUGGAUAAUACCGAAUACUUCGAGACUUCCGCAUGGAAGACUCGAGAAAGCUCCGGCGGAGAGGGAUGGGCCCGCGGCCUGUUAGCUUGUUGGUGGGGUAACGGCCUACCAAGGCAAUGAUGGGUAGCUGGGUUGAGAGACCGACCAGCCAGAUUGGGACUGAGACACGGCCCAGACUCCUACGGGAGGCAGCAGUGGGGAAUCUUGCACAAUGGGCGAAGGCCUGAUGCAGCGACGCCGCGUGCGGGAUGAAGGCCUUCGGGUUGUAAACCGCUUUCAGCAGGGACGAGGCGAAAGUGACGGUACCUGCAGAAGAAGCCCCGGCUAACUACGUG
rnacentral:rRNA from 1 species